AUGGAGUUUAUAGAUAAUCCUGAUUCCUUGUGUGCAACUAUUCUGAGGGCCAAGUACUACCCUGAUGGCAAUUUGCUGAAGUCUAAGCCAAAGCGUGGCGCUUCUUUCACCUGGCAGAGCAUUAUGGCAGGUAUAACUACUCUGAAACGUGGCUAUAUUUGGUGAGUGGGUAAUGGACAUAACAUCAAUAUCUGGGAAGAUGCCUGGAUCCCAAACUGUGUCACUAGGAAGAUUGUGACCCCUAGGGGGAGCCAUUUGCUAUCAAAAGUGAGUGACCUGAUUGACCCUGCUUCCAACAAUUGGGACGAGGAACUGAUUAGACAAACUAUGUGGUCCAUUGACGCACAACGAAUUCUUUCAAUCCCACUUUCGCAAUAUGAUAUGACAGAUUUCAUUGCCUGGAGUUACACAAAAAAUGGUAUGUUCUCGGUAAGGUCUGCUUACUCGGUGGAAUGGAAUUAUCAGUAUGAGAGUAGACUCAAAUAUUCUAAUGGGAUGGGGCGAAGCAUACCAAAUCCUAUUUGGUGUCAGAUAUGGAAGUUAGCCUGCCCAGCAAAGGUAAAAAAAUUUAUAUGGCGUACAUUACAUGGCACUCUCCCAUGCCGGGUAACACUCGCUAAUAGACACAUGAAGGUCUCGCCCUCUUGCCCGACUUGCUCUCAGGGUUUAGAAGAUACGAAACACAUGCUUUUCCUCUGUAGUAAAGCAAAGGAGGUUUGGAAGAGACUAGGGAUGGAUGUGAUAAUU
rnacentral:rRNA from 1 species